GACGAACGCUGGCGGCGUGCCUAAUACAUGCAAGUCGAACGCUUCUUUCCUCCCGAGUGCUUGCACUCAAUUGGAAAGAGGAGUGGCGGACGGGUGAGUAACACGUGGGUAACCUACCCAUCAGAGGGGGAUAACACUUGGAAACAGGUGCUAAUACCGCAUAACAGUUUAUGCCGCAUGGCAUAAGAGUGAAAGGCGCUUUCGGGUGUCGCUGAUGGAUGGACCCGCGGUGCAUUAGCUAGUUGGUGAGGUAACGGCUCACCAAGGCCACGAUGCAUAGCCGACCUGAGAGGGUGAUCGGCCACACUGGGACUGAGACACGGCCCAGACUCCUACGGGAGGCAGCAGUAGGGAAUCUUCGGCAAUGGACGAAAGUCUGACCGAGCAACGCCGCGUGAGUGAAGAAGGUUUUCGGAUCGUAAAACUCUGUUGUUAGAGAAGAACAAGGACGUUAGUAACUGAACGUCCCCUGGCGGUAUCUAACCAGAAAGCCACGGCUAACUACGUG
rnacentral:rRNA from 1 species